CACCCGCACCCACCUUUUUCAAAAAUUACUGAGUCCCGCACCCGCACCCGAGUCCUAAAACGCACCUGUGCUUCAUAGUCAUCAUGCCUACUAGUGUAACAACUUGGGGUGCCAGUUUGUCAAAGAGAAAUAUGGCUUAAUGAGGCUGUGUAUAGAUUAUAGGCCGUUGAUUUGUGUGACAGUGAAAAAUAGAUACCCACUCCCUAGAGUUGAUGACUUGUUUGAAAAAAAUUGAUCAACUCAAGACCAAACUUGAUGGCAUUCAAACAUAUUAUGGGCCAUUAUAAGUUUUUAGUCAUGUCAUAUGGAUUCAGCAACAUUUAUGGAUUUGAGAAAUCAAGUAUUCAGGCCAUAUCUUGAUAUUUUGUUAUUGUUAUUUCAAAAAGUUAGAAGUCAUGAGCGGCAUUUAGGAACCUGUCUUGCGUACUAAGAGAGAAUCUGUCUGGAAAGCUUUCCUAGGUCAGUGCUAAUAACAAUCUUAUCAUGAAAAGCAAGCUAAAAAGGUAUGUCAUUAGGACAACAGAUUCAUAAAUAAAAAAUAAAUAAAAAGUUUUUUUUUUUUUUAUUUGAUAAAAAGUUAUUAGGACAGCAAAGGCUUGGUGAGUCUACUAACUAAGGGACCAGCAUUAACAAAGCCCAUAAUCUAGAAUGUCUCUGUUUAUUCACCUAGCCUAAAGUUUCAUCCACGCAAAACAAGCACAGUAAAAUGAGAGACUAAAGAUAUACCCAGCCUUUUCCACCAAGCAUCUAGAUGGCUUGAACGGCGUCCAUGGACGGUAUGGUUGGGCCUUUUGCAGCGACAGUAAUAACAGCCGCUUGGAGUGGUGCUUGCUGGAAAAUGCCACAGAUCUCAAGUUCUACCAAAUCAAAAUCAAGUAAAACAGAGAACAACGAAAAAGAAACCCAGCAAAAAGUUGUUGAAGAAAGCCAGCAGAAUAAAAAGAAGAAACCCACCAGAAAUUUUUUUCAAAAACCAAAAAAAAACAAGAAAAGCAUCUCCGAAAAAAAAAACCCAACCUACAAUGAAGUUGUGAACUAAGUGAAUUGGCUAGCCGUUGCCCAAACCAGUCAAAAAU